GUCAGGUGUGGUAGUGCAUGCCUGUAAUCUCAGUGACUUGGGAGGCUGAGGCAGGAGGAUCUCAAGUUCCAGGCCAGCCUCAGCAACUUAGUGAGACCUGUCUCAA
rnacentral:sRNA from 1 species